UGCCCAGCAACUCCUACCCCACCUCCGCGUGGCAUCGGGCGGACUGCGAGCAACCUUGGGGAAGAUCGAGUAGCCAACCCCAGUGGGAACUUUGGUUGUAGGCUGACAGGGAAGG
rnacentral:ribozyme from 1 species